rnacentral:rRNA from 1 species
GUGCCCGCAGCCGCGAUAACACGUAGGUGGCAAGCGUUAUCCGGAAUUAUUGGGCGUAAAGCGCGCGUAGGCGGUUUCUUAAGUCUGAUGUGAAAGCCCACGGCUCAACCGUGGAGGGUCAUUGGAAACUGGGAAACUUGAGUACAGAAGAGGAAAGUGGAAUUCCAUGUGUAGCGGUGAAAUGCGCAGAGAUAUGGAGGAACACCAGUGGCGAAGGCGACUUUCUGGUCUGUAACUGACGCUGAUGUGCGAAAGCGUGGGGAUCAAACAGGAUUAGAUACCCUGGUAGUCC